rnacentral:rRNA from 1 species
UACGAAGGGGGCUAGCGUUGCUCGGAAUUACUGGGCGUAAAGGGCGCGUAGGCGGACGUUUUUUUUUAAGUCGGGGGUGAAAGCCCGGGGCUCAACCUCGGAACUGCCUUUGAUACUGGGAAUCUUGAGUUCGGGAGAGGUGAGUGGAAUUGCGAGUGUAGAGGUGAAAUUCGUAGAUAUUCGCAAGAACACCAGUGGCGAAGGCGGCUCACUGGCCCGAUACUGACGCUGAGGUGCGAAAGCGUGGGGAGCAAACAGG